rnacentral:rRNA from 1 species
UACGGAGGGGGCUAGCGUUGUUCGGAAUUACUGGGCGUAAAGGGCGCGUAGGCGGCCAUGCGUGUCUUCCGUGAAAUCCCUCGGCUUAACUGAGGACGUGCGGAAGAAACUGCAAGGCUCGAGUCCGGGAGAGGGGGGUGGAAUUCCAGGUGUAGCAGUGAAAUGCGUAGAUAUGCGGAGGAACACCGAUGGCGAAGGCAAUCCCCUGGGCCUGCACUGACGCUCAUGCACGAAAGCGUGGGGAGCAACAGG